AGAGUUUGAUCCUGGCUCAGAAUUAACGCUGGCGGCAUGCGUAACACAUGCAAGUCGCACGAGAAAGCCCGGUUCGCCGGGCGAGUAAAGUGGCGCACGGGUGAGUAACGCGUGGGUAAUCUACCUCUUUCCGGGAGAUAACACACCGAAAGGUGUGCUAAUACCGCAUACUCCGGUGUGACUUCGGUCAUAUCGGCAAAGGUGGCCUCUACAUGUAAGCUACCGGAGGGAGAUGAGCCCGCGUCCCAUUAGCUAGUUGGUGAGGUAAAGGCUCACCAAGGCGACGAUGGGUAGCUGGUCUGAGAGGACGGCCAGCCACACUGGAACUGGAACACGGUCCAGGCUCCUACGGGAGGCAGCAGUGAGGAAUAUUGCGCAAUGGGGGAAACCCUGACGCAGCGAUGCCGCGUGGGUGAAGAAGGCCUUCGGGUCGUAAAGCCCUGUCAGGCGGGAAGAACAGCUUUGGGGCUAAUAUCCUCAGAGUCUGACGGUACCGCUGAAGGAAGCACCGGCUAACUCCGUGCCAGCAGCCGCGGUAAGACGGAGGGUGCAAGCGUUAUUCGGAUUUAUUGGGCGUAAAGAGCGCGUAGGCGGUUUAUCAAGUCAGAUGUGAAAGCCCUGGGCUCAACCUGGGAAGUGCAUUUGAAACUAGUAGACUUGAGUAUGGGAGAGGGGAGUGGAAUUCCUGGUGUAGAGGUGAAAUUCGUAGAUAUCAGGAGGUACACCGGUGGCGAAGGCGACUUCCUGGACCAAUACUGACGCUGAGGCGCGAAGGCGUGGGGAGCAAACAGGAUUAGAUACCCUGGUAGUCC
rnacentral:rRNA from 1 species